UUAUUUUUAUUAAGUGGUUAUUUUUAUUUAUAUCCUUCUAAAGAAAAUAUGAAUUCCUAAAAUAUAUAUUAGCGGGUAUGUAUUUGGCCAAAUUAAAAAAUAAAAUCAGUAUACUCUUCCAACCGUCUUUGUCGGUUUAAUGUGAAUGAAACAAAACCACCCCACCUCAAUAAUCUCUGUCUGCCUCGUCAGUUCUCAAAUCCCAAAAGGAAAAACCCUCAAACCCCAUUUUUCUCGCACCUGCCCGUCUCUUUCUUUCGCUCCCGUCGCCGGUAAUUGUCAAAGCUCGCCGGAGCUCUAUUGUUGGUCGUUCGUGCCGACUCAUCUCUCUCCUCUGUUCGUAUUCUGCCACCGCAGUGCUGCUCGCGAGCCACCGCGGUGCUGUUGCUAUUGCCCAUGUGUUUCUCUCUCCUCCUGCACACUAUAACCACCGGAGUCGCGCCGUGUUGCUCGCCGGUGACUGAGCACCUCUCUCUCCAUCGCGCGCUGUGGUUGCGGCGAUGCUGCUUGUUGAUGUUGCGGUUGUUGCUGUGGUUGAUGUAAUGUUGCCGUCGUCGAUAUUGUCUGCCCUACCGUCGUCGCAGCCUCGAUUUGCUGUUAAUUUGAAUUCAGUUUUAUUGAUUUAGUUUUUAGUUUUUAGAGAUUUAGUUAAGUUUGUCAUUCAAUUUGUGAGUUAAUUGCUGUUUUUUAUGCUUGAUUUGAGCUUGGAGGUUUCUCGCUAAACGCCUGCUUGCUGCUUGCUUAGAUAAUUGCUUAAUUUGUGUGUUAAUUGUUGUUAAUACUGCUUAGUUGCUGCCUUGCAAUACUGGUAAUGGUAAUGUGUAUUAUAAUCUUGAAAACAUUCAACAUAUGACUUGAUUUCUUGUUGAUUAAUUUGUACAAAGAUUGUGAGAAACUAAAUAUCAAUUAACACUUAGAACUCAAUAUGAGCAAUGUUUCUAAAACACCUUAUGGACACAUUACGUGUCCUGUAGCUGUAAAAGCAUAUAUCAAGAUUCAUACUACUAUAAAUAUAAUCCUAGACUUGCAUUCCAUCGUUGGCUGAGUAAAAAUAUUCAUCGCACAAAUAAUUAAUACGUGAAACAUCGCAUAAUUCAAAACAUAGGAUCCAUUUUUAACAUAUAAUUAAACAUACUUAUGCAGUUAUGCUUGAAAGUUGAAAAUUGGAGUAAAUCAUAUGCAAGAAAAUGCAUGCCAGCAAAGCUAUGAAAUCAAUUUUAUGUGGUUGAUCUUCUAAGUCAAGACUUCAAAUCAAAUAAUGAUGAAAUAAGAAAAAUCUCAAAUGGCAGUAAGCAAAAAUAAAAUUUUCUGCAUGUUAAAAGAAUUUUAUACCUCUUUGACAAAGAGAAUCACAAAGGAGAAGAUCACUUUUUAACUUUUCAAGCUUUUAGGGUAUCUCUUUUCAGAGUUUACUAUAUCAAAGUACAAAAUCUGAAUUCUCUCUCUAACAUUCAGUAAAAACUGAUUCGACUAUAUAUGAUAUUGAGUGUUUUUAUGAAUAUUAGCACUAAUUGUACUGUCGUAGCUCUCUAAUCAUAUGUUAAUGGAAUUUUUGGUUUUAUUCGCAAUAUUGCUUUAGCUUAAAGGCACUACCAAUAUUUUUUUUCCAUUUCUCAUGCAUUUUGCUUUUAGAUAUGGUGAAAAUGUAAAUGUCUCAUGCAUAUUGGUAGGUUCUAACUUCUACUCUCAUUACCUUAGAGAUUUACAGUGGCUUAUGGAACGAUUGUUAGGUUAGUUUAUAUUGUAUUAUAUAAUUUAUUUAGCAGAUUCCUGUAAAUUAUUAUGAGUGCUUGAAUAAAACAUGGAUUCAGUAUGGAAUUAUUAGUUUUAGAAUCAGGAAGCGAGGUAUGUCUAGCUCUUGGUUGAAGGUGAAAGCCCAUCAACUGGUUUUAGAAUUGCAUUGCAUUGAGAAUUGAAUACCCUUAGUUCAGAAUUAUGGCUGAUUGAACUAAAAAACAAAAGGACACAUUUCAGUAAAAGCUGAGAGCUCAGUAACUGAAACUGAAAGCCUGUAACUAAAAUAUGGGAACACCUUAUGGAACUGAACUAUGACUUCCUAAUGUUUGUCUCUCUUUACCCUUGUGGCGUCUUCUUAUGGAUUUUUACCUCUUAAGACAACUCGAUACAACUCAAUGCUUUUGCUAAUCAAUAAGAAUCAGCAUGUUUUUAAAGCUGACGUCCUACUUCCUGUUGUUGUACUCUAGAAGUGAUCUGGGAUUCUGUGCUUGGAUGACUCUUGGAACUCGUCUUUACGCCCUUCGUUCAAAAUUCCAGUUAAAACAAAAUUAAGAGCAAAGUUCGAAAGAAAGAAGGAGAGAGAAUCUUACCCUUUAACUUGGCUUUCAGAGACUUACAUCGCCCCCUCCCCCGGUAGCUACUAUGCAGGCUUCGGGAGCAAGUGCUUCGGGAAUUGGGGUUCAAAGACAUAUUUAAAAAAGUGAAGGUACAUAGUAGAUGCUGCUGUCUUUUUUCUUCCAUCUUUUUUUGGGACCUAUUCGAAAAAUUAGGAUAAUCAAAUAAUUUCUGCAUAUCGAAUCAACAUCAAGUACUUGAACCUUGUCCAUAUAUAUCUACCGAUCUAUUUUUUUCUGUUUUGUAGGGUGAUGAGAAUGCGAAGGCUAUAUCAUUAUUCAGCAAUGUGGUAAAUCUCAAUGAUGCUAUUGAAGAUCCAGUGAAACGUUUAGAGCAUCUCGUUAGAGGAAUCUUUGCUGAAAAUAUAUAUUUGACCUUGGCUCUGCACAGCUUGCAGAGGUAUUCUCAAAGGAUGGGAUGUCCUUUAUGGCCAGAACCUUGUCCCUCGACCCUCGGUUAUUGAUGACCUUGAGACUUUCAAAUUGCAGUGGAUAUAAGAAGUCCUGGCAAAAGGCUGUGAUUUUUGUUGAUAAUUCUGGUGCAGAUAUCAUUGUAGGAAUUUUACCAUUUGCAAGGGAAUUACUGCGUCGUGGUACACAAGAAUUUUACCAGUUGCAGGGGCGGUGGUAAGCUUGCCUGAAUGACCAAAUCCAAACACUUCUUGCAGGGGUCAUGAUGGAUGCAGUAAAAUCAUGUACCUUUGGCCUUACAAUUCUCUUUUCUUUUUUCCUUCUUUUGUUGCAAGGGUUUACCUUUGGCCUUACAAUUUUUGGAAUCUUCUAACAUUAUAUUGAUAUGCAUGUGAUUUUGUAGUGAAUGAUAUUGAAUGAAUGAAAAGGUAUUCCAAUUUUAAAGUCA